AUUGAACGCUGGCGGCAUGCUUUACACAUGCAAGUCGAACGGUAACAGGGAGCUUGCUCCGCUGACGAGUGGCGAACGGGUGAGUAAUAUAUCGGAACGUGCCCAAGAGUGGGGGAUAACGUAGCGAAAGUUACGCUAAUACCGCAUACGAUCCAAGGAUGAAAGCAGGGGACCUUCGGGCCUUGUGCUCCUGGAGCGGCCGAUAUCUGAUUAGCUAGUUGGUGAGGUAAAGGCUCACCAAGGCGACGAUCAGUAGCUGGUCUGAGAGGACGACCAGCCACACUGGAACUGAGACACGGUCCAGACUCCUACGGGAGGCAGCAGUGGGGAAUUUUGGACAAUGGGGGCAAACCUGAUCCAGCAAUGCCGCGUGAGUGAAGAAGGCCUUCGGGUUGUAAAGCUCUUUUGUCAGGGAAGAAAAGGGUACGGCUAAUAUCCGUGCCUCAUGACGGUACCUGAAGAAUAAGCACCGGCUAACUACGUGCCAGCAGCCGCGGUAA
rnacentral:rRNA from 1 species